GGGCUGCUAAUCACGUGCCAGCAGCAGCGGUAAUACGUGAGCCCCAAGCGUUAUCCGGAAUUACUGGGCGUAAAGGGUGUGUAGGCGGUUUCAUUAGUCUUUCGUUAAAGACUCCGGCUUAACCGGAGGAGUGCGAAGGAAACGGUGAGACUUGAGGGUGCGAGAGGUCUAUGGAACUCAUGGUGUAGGGGUGAAAUCCGUUGAUAUCAUGGGGAACACCAAAAGCGAAGGCAAUAGACUGGCGCAUUCCUGACGCUGAGACACGAAAGCGUGGGUAGCGAAAGGGAUUAGAUACCCCUGUAGUCCACGCCCUAAACGAUGUUCUCUAGCUUUUUGGAGUAUCGACCCUCUGGGAGGCAAAGCUAACGCGUUAAGAGAACCGCCUGGGAAGUACGAGCGCAAGCUUAAAACUCAAAGGAAUAGACGGGGACUUGCACAAGCGGUGGAUCAGGUGGCUUAAUUCGACAAUAAACGAAGAACCUUACCAGGACUUGAAACCCUAAUGACGUAUUUGGGAGACCAGAUAUUUCUCACAAGGACAUUAGGGCAGGUGAUGCAUGGCCGUCGUCAGUUCGUGGCUUGAGCUGUUCCCUUCAGUGGGGAAACGAACGCAACCCCUAUCGUCUGUUAUACGUGUCAGGCGAGACCGCCGCGUAAGUUGGAGGAAGGUGGGGAUGACGCCAGGUCAGCAUGUCCCUUUGAUGUCCUGGGCUGCACACCUGAUACAAUGGUCGCUACAGAAGGUUGCGACGGGGUAACCCUGAGCCAAUCCUUUAAAAGCGGCCUCAGUUCGGAUUGAGGGCUGCAACUCGACCUCAUGAAGUCGGAAUCGCUAGUAAUCGCGGGUCAGAUAUACCGCGGUGAAUACGUUCCCAAGUCUUGUACUCACCGCCCGUCAUAUCAAGGGAGCCGGGAGUACCCGAAGUCCCACUCUGGAGGCUGGAAGCUGGAUAACUGGAUACUGGAAAGAUUUUUGCGAAGCAAAA
rnacentral:rRNA from 1 species